ACAAGCUGUUGGUGUCCCUGAGCUCCCAAGCAAGGUUUUAAUGAGCCGAAACGACAUAUGAGGUGCUCAGAAAGUAGGAGUAUUGAUGUGCACUGACUGACACCAAUCUGGGAGCAGAAAAUUCCACCCCAAGUAUUCUAAUGUGGCCAUGGAUUAAUAAAUAUCGUGGAGUUUAUAUAGCUGACCAAUGGCAGACAUCUCUGACUUUAAGAGGCUUAUAUGAAGUUUCAGUGGGCAGCUUGAAAUUGUCCAAAGGCGUUUACUACACAGCUGUGU